UACGUAGGGGGCAAGCGUUGUCCGGAUUUAUUGGGCGUAAAGAGCGUGUAGGCGGCUUUGCAAGUCCGUUGUGAAAACUCGAGGCUCAACCUCGAGACGCCGAUGGAAACCAUGUGGCUAGAGUCCGGAAGAGGAGAGUGGAAUUCCUGGUGUAGCGGUGAAAUGCGCAGAUAUCAGGAAGAACACCCGUGGCUAAGGCGGCUCUCUAGUACGGUACUGACGCUGAGACGCGAAAGCGUGGGGAGCGAACAGG
rnacentral:rRNA from 1 species